rnacentral:tRNA from 1 species
UCCCCGGACGGCGAGGACGCCGGCCGCUCCCAGCGGGUGGGUCGCGGGGUCGCGCCCGUUCCAGGGAGCCA